UACGAAGGGGGCUAGCGUUGUCUCGGAAUCACUGGGCGUAAAGGGUGCGUAGGCGGGUCUUUAAGUCAGGGGUGGAAAUCCUGGAGCUCAACUCCAGAACUGCCUUUGAUACUGAGGAUCUUGAGUAUGGGAGAGGUGAGUGGAACUGCGAGUGUAGAGGUGAAAUUCGUAGAUAUUCGCAAGAACACCAGUGGCGAAGGCGGCUCACUGGCCCAUUACUGACGCUGAGGCACGAAAGCGUGGGGAGCAAACAGGG
rnacentral:rRNA from 1 species